ensembl:lncRNA
UUCUGACUCAGUGACAUUUUAUAAGAUCACUGUGUUCUUUCUUCAGAGCCAUUUGAGAUGGAAGUGGGAACAGGAAGCCCACUAUCUCAGAGGACAGGACCAAGGAUGGUGCUCCCCAACUGACGGAGGGCUGCAGGGAGUCAGAGCCCUGCGGGAGUGGUGGUAGGAGCCAACACCCUUGUGUUCCAGCCUGGCAUCAGAACUCUGAGCUAAGAAGAAUUUGUUCAUUCCCAAACCACAAUGAGCAAUGAAGAACGUAGGCUUGUGAUGAAGAUUUUACAGGGAAGAUAGAAGAAAGGUGUUUUUCUGGGACGUUGGCAAUCUGAUCUCUGCUUCCUCUGCUUUUUCUAAAUCCAGCUUGAACAUCUGGAAGUUCAUGGUUCACGUACUGUUGAAGCCUGGCUUGGAGAAUUUUGAGCAUUACUUUACCAGCAUGUGAGAUGAGUGCAAUUGUGCAUUAGUUUGAGCAUUCUUUGGCAUUGCCUUUCUUUGGGAUUGGAAUGAAAACUGACCUCUUCCAGUCCUGUGGCCACUGCUGAGUUUUCCAAAUUUGCUGGCAUAUUGUGUGCAGCACUUUCACAGCAUCAUCUUUUAGGAUUUAAAAUAGCUCAACUGGAAUUCCAUCACCUCCACUAGCUUUGUUCAUAGUGAUGCUUCCUAAGGCCCACUUGACUUCACAUUCCAGGAUGUCUGGCUCUAGGUGAAUGAUCACACCAUCAUGAUUACUCUCAUUACAGCAUGAGAGGUCCUAGCUUCACAGCUUACCCUCAUCUUAGGAAACAAACUUCACAGACUUCCACUCAUUAGGAAAACAAAGGGUCUUUGAAUACCUGGACCCAUGUACCUUCUGUAGAAAGAAUUUAAUGACAAUCACUUGAUAAUUGACUAGGCCUUAACGAUAACUAAUCCAUCCUCCCAUCCCCACUGACCUCGUUUAUCAUCAUCAAGUAUUUCUUCCAGACACAUAAAAUGUCUUCUCUAAGAGUAAAUGACUUUCUCAAUUUCAUUAAACUGGUGUAUAAUA